GAAACCAACUACUAUCCUUUUCCUGUGUAAUCAGCAGGAAGCAUCAGAAGAGACAGCAUUGGUUAAGAGCCCUCAGCAAUCUACUAAGCUUAACUCAGACACCACUUUAGAUCUUUGUCUCAGAAUGUUCUCCUGGAAUGUGGCUGGACUGCCAAAUAAGAUACAUGAUAAGAAGGAUGUCAUUAGAGGCACCCUUGAAAUUGUUACAGGAAUUGUGUGGCACCAAAUUGAAGGAUCAUGCUCUUUUAGUUUAGACAGAGUCGCCUGUUCUUCCAGCACUCCACAAGCUGCCCCUGUCAAACCGACCUCGAAUGCAAGCAAGUUCUUU